GAAAGUGUACUAUAUAAAUCGUGGUCACCGCUCGGUUCGUUAGGGUUCCGAACGGCCGCCGAUUUCGGAGAACUCAUCGUGUAGAUCAGCACGCCAUGGUGAACGUUCCGAAGACGAAGAAAACGUACUGCAAGAACAAGGAGUGCAAGAAGCACACCCUGCAUAAGGUGACUCAGUACAAGAAGGGGAAGGACAGCAUUUCAGCUCAAGGCAAGAGGCGUUAUGACCGGAAGCAGUCUGGUUAUGGUGGG